AACGCACAUUGCGCCCGCCAGUAUUCUGGCGGGCAUGCCUGUUCGAGCGUCAUUACAUCCCUCAAGCCCCCGGGCUUGGUGUUGGGGAUCGGCGAGCCUCAGCGCCCGCCGUCCCCUAAAUUUAGUGGCGGUCACGCUGUAACUUCCUCUGCGUAGUAGCACACUUAGCACUGGGAAACAGCGCGGCCACGCCGUAAAACCCCCCAACUUUUGAACGUUUGACCUCGAAUCAGGUAGGACUACCCGCUGAACUUAA
rnacentral:misc_RNA from 1 species